UGGACAUAGCAUGGACAUGAGGGCCCCCGCUCACCUCCUGGGGCUCCUGCUGCUCUGGCUCCCAGGUUCCAGAUGUGACAUCCAGAUGACCCAGUCUCCAUCCUCUCAUUCUGCAUCUAUAGGAGACCCUGUCACCAUCAAUUGCAAGGCCAGUCAGAACAUAGGUAGUAUUUUAGCCUGGUAUCAACAGUCACCAGGCAAAGCACCUAAACUCCUGAUCUAUGGUGCAAGCAAUUUGGAAUCCGGGGUCCCACCGAGGUUCAGUGGAAGUAGAUCUGGGACAGACUUUACUCUCACCAUCAGCAGCCUGCAGCUUGAAGAUGUUGCCACUUAUUACUGUCUACAGGGUUAUAGUACCCCUCCCACAGUGAUACACACCAUGACAUAA